rnacentral:rRNA from 1 species
UACGUAGGGUGCAAGCGUUAAUCGUAAUUACUGGGCGUAAAGCGUGCGCAGGCGGUCCGCUAAGACAGAUGUGAAAUCCCCGGGCUUAACCUGGGAACUGCAUUUGUGACUGGCGGGCUAGAGUAUGGCAGAGGGGGGUAGAAUUCCACGUGUAGCAGUGAAAUGCGUAGAGAUGUGGAGGAAUACCGAUGGCGAAGGCAGCCCCCUGGGCCAAUACUGACGCUCAUGCACGAAAGCGUGGGGAGCAAACAGG